CCCUUAGAUGUUCUGGGCCGCACGCGCGCUACACUGAUGCAUUCAACGAGUUUCUUCCUGGUCCGAGAGGAAUGGGUAACCUUUUGAAAGUGCAUCGUGGUAGGGAUAGACUAUUGCAAUUAUUGGUCUUCAACGAGGAGUUCCUAGUAGACGUAGUUCAUCAGACUGCGUCGAUUACGUCCCUGCCCUUUGUACACACCGCCCGUCGCUCCUACCGAUUGAAUGCUCAGGUGAGCCAUUCGGACUUUCAUCAUGCUGGUUUCCAGUUUUGAUGAAGGAAAGUCUUGCGAACCUUAUCAUUUAGAGGAAGGAGAAGUCGUAACA
rnacentral:rRNA from 1 species